CCUACGGGAGGCUGCAGUGAGGAAUAUUGGUCAAUGGACGAGAGUCUGAACCAGCCAAGUAGCGUGAAGGAUGACUGCCCUAUGGGUUGUAAACUUCUUUUAUAAAGGAAUAAAACGAGGCACGUGUGCCUUUUUGCAUGUACUUUAUGAAUAAGGAUCGGCUAAAUCCGUGCCAGCAGCCGCGGUAAGACGGAGGAUCCGAGCGUUAUCCGGAUUUAUUGGGUUUAAAGGGAGCGUAGAUGGGUUGUUAAGUCAGUUGUGAAAGUUUGCGGCUCAACCGUAAAAUUGCAAUUGAUACUGGCAUUCUUGAGUACAGUUGAGGUAUGCGGAAUUCGUGGUGUAGCGGUGAAAUGCUUAGAUAUCACGAAGAACCCCGAUUGCGAAGGCAGCUUACUAAACUGUGACUGACAUUGAUGCUCGAAAGUGUGGGUAUCAAACAGGAUUAGAUACCCUUGUAGUC
rnacentral:rRNA from 1 species